CUAGCGCCGCCAAUUCCCUUCUCGGUUCUCUCUUUCUUCCCCACAUACAACAACGAGAGGGAAAACCCCCGUACACCUCUGUACCUUCCCCUCCAUGGCGCUGCUGCUCCCGACCGCCCCUCGCCGAGCUAAGGCCAUCUCCAGAACCGCCCCGACGUCCUUGUUGUCCUCCUCCAAGGAAUCGAGCCGGAGCUCUCCCAAUCGCCGCCAAAUUCACCGAUUCCAUCUCCAACCUCGGUGGGAAAAGCUUCGAUUUAGAACGUCUCCGCCCUCCUCUGGCCCAUCCGAGCCUUUCAGCACGAUCCCGGCAAAGCUCGUCGCCGGCAACCUUCCGGUGGUGCUCCGCUCAAGGCGCGACCUGUUCCUGCUUCCCCAUGUCACGGCGCUUCUUCCCCGCCAUGUAGCCUGCCCCGAUUGAUGCUCGACAUGGUCUCCGUCCGCCAUGCUGCUUCUGGAACCGAGCUCCGCCGUGGACUACUACAAAAGGGUGGACCCCACCCGUCAGCCUCUGCCAGCGCCACAUCAGCUCCCCUGCCUCGUCAGUGUCACAGUCAGCGACCCUGGCCCCGCAAGUCAGCCCCUGUGGCUAGACCCUCCUCGCAUUUGCUUCUUCCCGGAUAGGAUCACGAAGUGGUGUGGUGAGAUACG